rnacentral:rRNA from 1 species
GAUGAACGCUGGCGGCGUGCCUAAUACAUGCAAGUCGAGCGAACAGACGAUGAGCUUGCUCCUCUGACGUUAGCGGCGGACGGGUGAGUAACACGUGUAUAACCUACCUAUAAGACUGGGAUAACUUCGGGAAACCGGAGCUAAUAGCGUAUAAUAUAUUGAACCGCAUGGUUCAAUAGUGAAAGACGGUUUUGCUGUCUCUUAUAGAUGGAUCCGCGCCGCAUUAGCUAGUUGGUAAGGUAACGGCUUACCAAGGCAACGAUGCGUAGCCGACCUGAGAGGGUGAUCGGCCACACUGGAACUGAGACACGGUCCAGACUCCUACGGGAGGCAGCAGUAGGGAAUCUUCCGCAAUGGGCGAAAGCCUGACGGAGCAACGCCGCGUGAGUGAUGAAGGUCUUCGGAUCGUAAAACUCUGUUAUUAGGGAAGAACAAAUGUGUAAGUAACUAUGCACGUCUUGACGGUACCUAAUCAGAAAGCCACGGCUAACUACGUG